CGCAGCUCCCAAGAGCCUAACCCGUGGAUUUAAACGGUAAACAUCACAAGUUAGGGUCUCAGGGACUGAGG
rnacentral:pre_miRNA from 1 species